rnacentral:rRNA from 1 species
UAGACCGCCUGGGGAGUACGGCCGCAAGGUUAAAACUCAAAUGAAUUGACGGGGGCCCGCACAAGCGGUGGAGCAUGUGGUUUAAUUCGAUGCAACGCGAAGAACCUUACCUGGUCUUGACAUCCACGGAAGUUUUCAGAGAUGAGAAUGUGCCUUCGGGAACCGUGAGACAGGUGCUGCAUGGCUGUCGUCAGCUCGUGUUGUGAAAUGUUGGGUUAAGUCCCGCAACGAGCGCAACCCUUAUCCUUUGUUGCCAGCGAUUCGGUCGGGAACUCAAAGGAGACUGCCAGUGAUAAACUGGAGGAAGGUGGGGAUGACGUCAAGUCAUCAUGGCCCUUACGACCAGGGCUACACACGUGCUACAAUGGCGCAUACAAAGAGAAGCGACCUCGCGAGAGCAAGCGGACCUCAUAAAGUGCGUCGUAGUCCGGAUUGGAGUCUGCAACUCGACUCCAUGAAGUCGGAAUCGCUAGUAAUCGUGGAUCAGAAUGCCACGGUGAAUACGUUCCCGGGCCUUGUACACACCGCCCGUCACACCAUGGGAGUGGGUUGCAAAAGAAGUAGGUAGCUUAACCUUCGGGAGGGCGCUUACCACUUUGUGAUUCAUGACUGGGGUGAAGUCGUAACAAGGUAACCGUAGGGGAACCUGCGGUUGGAUCACCUCCUUACCUGAAAGAAGC